GGGCGGCUGGGUGCAGGAAACGGAGUCAGCCUCUACUGGCCCAAGACCGCACACAGUCUGGCUCUUCUAUCACUGGCAGGGAGCCUGGGGCUAUUUCGGGAAGCUCUGCACACAGCCCGCCACUUCCCUGCCAGGCUGACUAGGUCAAAAACAAAACCAACCCAGCAACAGCCCGUGUCAACAGGGUGGGAAGUGAGGAGGCGCUGAACAGCCCCGAGAGGAACAGCAGGACCGGGGGAGGUGGAGGACGGUGGAGGCAGGCAAAGUCCUCCCACCCUGGGGCCGGGGACGGCGGCAGGAAGCAAACGAGGCAAGCUGGAAGCCGCAAGGUGCAGUGGGAGAGACCAGUUCCGGAACCAGACAGACCUAAGUUCCAAUUCAAGCGUCGUCUUCAAGUGCUCAGCAAACACCUGUGGAUGGGGUACACCAGGGGACAGGGCUGGCCGUAGAGACAGGAGGACCAAGGACGGGAACAGUCAUCUGGCAGCACCUCGUGAGUAGCUGACCCAAGUCACCAUUCCCAAGGUUGGAGUCACAAUAGCCAGAAGGCGGAAGCGAGCCAAGCGUGUGCUGACAGAUGAACCAGUACGCGAACGUGGUCCCUCCGAGGGCCGAACGUUACUCCUCGUGCACAGGGAAGGAGCCUCUGCUUCCUGCUGCGCCGUGGACGAGCACGGAAGCCACUGUGCUGAGUGACAGUACCCAGUCGGGAGCGACAGGUGCGCGGGACGCCACGCACAUACGCGAGGCACGCUCACAGGGACAGAAAGCGGGCCAGGGCGCCAGGGGCUGGGGGAGGGAGGGGUCAGUGUUUCACGGGGACGAGCGUCAGUGUGGAGACAGCAACAAGAAGCAGAGAUGCCGGUGGGGACGGCUGCCCAAGGGGAACGUGCCUGAGGCCACUUAACUGGACACGUACAGGUAGUUAGGGUGGUAAACUCUGUUACACGUAUUUUACCGCAGUUGUGGCGGGAACUCUAGAGUUGGGUACAGGGUCUCCUUUCAGGGUGAUGAAAAUGUUCUGGAACUACACAGAGGUGCUACUUGCUCACCCUCGUGAAUGUACUAAAUGUUACUGAAUUGCUCACUUUAAGAGUGAAUUUUGGGCGCCUGGGUGGCUUAGUCGUUAAGC